rnacentral:ncRNA from 2 species
CCGCGCGGUAGCAUCCGGGGGCUCGGCGGGCGAUGAGGAAACCGGUGAAAUUCCGGUGCGGUCGCGCCACUGUGAACAGCCAGACCCUCUCCGGCGAGCGCUAACCC